rnacentral:tRNA from 1 species
GUGUAGCUCAGUGGUAGAGCACAUACUUAUCAUAUAUGAGGCCCUGGGUUCAAAUUCCAGCAC